rnacentral:rRNA from 1 species
AUUGAACGCUGGCGGCAUGCCUUACACAUGCAAGUCGAACGGCAGCACGGGAGCAAUCCUGGUGGCGAGUGGCGAACGGGUGAGUAAUAUAUCGGAACGUGCCCAGUCGUGGGGAUAACGUAGCGAAAGCUACGCUAAUACCGCAUACGAUCUAUGGAUGAAAGCGGGGGAUCGCAAGACCUCGCGCGAUUGGAGCGGCCGAUAUCAGAUUAGGUAGUUGGUGAGGUAAAGGCUCACCAAGCCGACGAUCUGUAGCUGGUCUGAGAGGACGACCAGCCACACUGGGACUGAGACACGGCCCAGACUCCUACGGGAGGCAGCAGUGGGGAAUUUUGGACGAUGGGCGCAAGCCUGAUCCAGCAAUGCCGCGUGCAGGAUGAAGGCCUUCGGGUUGUAAACUGCUUUUGUACGGAACGAAACGGUGAGCUCUAAUACAGUUUGCUAAUGACGGUACCGUAAGAAUAAGCACCGGCUAACUACGUG